rfam:Camelus ferus unplaced genomic scaffold scaffold884, whole genome shotgun sequence.
AAAGGUAUAGCUCAGUGGUAGAGCAUGUGCUUAGCAUGCACGAGGUCCUGGGUUCAAUCCCCAGUACCUCCA